UGCGGGAUGGAGCAGUCUGGUAGCUCGUCGGGCUCAUAACCCGAAGGUCAUAGGUUCGAAUCCUGUUCCCGCUA
rnacentral:tRNA from 1 species